UGCUCUAAUUUUUUUUAAAAAUUGCUCAUAAUUUCGAAAGAUUACCAAGUUCUCGAGAGCAGAAUGUCAUCAGCGUAAUGAAGAGUAAACAUUUAUGUUAAUAAUCGGCAAUCUUUUCAUCAGCUAUAAAGACAGGCUAUAGCAGAAAUGCAGUCAUAUUCUGCAGUCGAUAUUGAGCUAUUUAGAAGAGGAAUAGUGAAUCGGCUCGCAGAAAUUCACUCAUAUGAGACUCUUUCCUUAGCAUUAUAGCAAAAUCUCUUCCAAUGACUAAAUAGAAUCGACCAUCUUGCCUGAAAAGAACAAGGUAGUCACAGUAAAUCCAAGAAAGACCACACUUAACUGGAAGGACAAACAACCAAUGUGCAAAAGACAACAAACCCUAUAUACCAUAGAGAGCAUUAUGACUGGUUGUAUGGAG